rnacentral:rRNA from 1 species
GAAAUUCGCCUUCAUGAAGUCGGAAUUGCUAGUAAUGGCAGGUCAGCAUACUGCCGUGAAUACGUUCCCGGGCCCUUGUACACACCGCCCGUCACACCAUGAGAGUUGGAGAUACCCGAAGCCUAUGAGCUAACUUUUAGAGGCAGUAGUCGAAGGUAGAAUCAAUGAUUGGGGUGAAGUCGUAACAAGGUAUC